rnacentral:rRNA from 1 species
UACCUCCUACGGGGGGCAGCAGUAGGGAAUCUUCGGCAAUGGACGCAAGUCUGACCGAGCAACGCCGCGUGAGUGAAGAAGGUUUUCGGAUCGUAAAACUCUGUUGUUAGAGAAGAACGUUAAGUAGAGUGGAAAGUUACUUAAGUGACGGUAUCUAACCAGAAAGGGACGGCUAACUACGUGCCAGCAGCCGCGGUAAUACGCAGGUCCCGAGCGUUGUCCGGAUUUAUUGGGCGUAAAGCGAGCGCAGGUGGUUUCUUAAGUCUGAUGUAAAAGGCAGUGGCUCAACCACUGUGUGCAUUGGG